ACCGUGAGGGAAAGGUGAAAAGCACCCCGGAAGGGGAGUGAAAUAGAACCUGAAACCGUGUGCUUACAAGUAGUCAGAGCCCGUUAAUGGGUGAUGGCGUGCCUUUUGUAGAAUGAACCGGCGAGUUACGAUUUGAUGCAAGGUUAAGCAGUAAAUGUGGAGCCGUAGCGAAAGCGAGUCUGAAUAGGGCGUUUAGUAUUUGGUCGUAGACCCGAAACCAGGUGAUCUACCCUUGGUCAGGUUGAAGUUCAGGUAACACUGAAUGGAGGACCGAACCGACUUACGUUGAAAAGUGAGCGGAUGAACUGAGGGUAGCGGAGAAAUUCCAAUCGAACCUGGAGAUAGCUGGUUCUCUCCGAAAUAGCUUUAGGGCUAGCCUCAAGUGAUGAUUAUUGGAGGUAGAGCACUGUUUGGACGAGGGGCCCCUCUCGGGUUACCGAAUUCAGACAAACUCCGAAUGCCAAUUAAUUUAACUUGGGAGUCAGAACAUGGGUGAUAAGGUCCAUGUUCGAAAGGGAAACAGCCCAGACCACCAGCUAAGGUCCCAAAAUAUAUGUUAAGUGGAAAAGGAUGU
rnacentral:rRNA from 1 species